rnacentral:rRNA from 1 species
GACGGAGUAGCCCAUGUCCGAUUAGUUUGUUGGUGCGGUAACGGCGCACCAAGGCGAUGAUCGGUAGCUGGUCUGAGAGGAUGAUCAGCCACACCGGGACUGAGACACGGCCCGGACUCCUACGGGAGGCAGCAGUGGGGAAUAUUGGACAAUGGGGGAAACCCUGAUCCAGCGAUGCCGCGUGAGUGAAGAAGGCCUUCGGGUUGUAAAGCUCUUUCGCGAGGGAAGAAAAGGCAACGGUAAAUAAUCGUUGCCACUGACGGUACCUCGAUAAGAAGCACCGGCUAACUACGUGCCAGCAGCCGCGGUAAUACGUAGGGUGCGAGCGUUAAUCGGAAUUACUGGGCGUAAAGCGUGCGUAGGCGGCCAUGCAAGUCAGAUGUGAAAGCCCCGGGCUUAACCUGGGAACUGCGUUUGAAACUGCAAGGCUAGAGUUCGGCAGGGGAAGAUGGAAUUCCAUGUGUAGCGGUGAAAUGCGUAGAUAUAUGGAAGAACACUAAUGGCGAAGGCAUUCUUCUGGGCCGAUACUGACGCUGAGUCACUAAAGCGUGGGGAGCAAACAGGAUUAGAUACCCUGGUAGUCCACGCCCUAAACGAUGUCCGCUAGCUAUUGGAUUUUAGAUUCAGUGGCGAAGCUAACGCGUUAAGCGGACCGCCUGGGGAGUACGGUCGCAAGAUUAAAACUCAAAGGAAUUGACGGGGACCCGCACAAGCGGUGGAUGACGUGGUUUAAUUCGAUGCAACGCGAAAAACCUUACCUGCUCUUGACAUGUCUGGAACUCUGCAGAGAUGCAGAGGUGCCUUCGGGAACCAGAACACAGGUG